CAGCAGCCGCGGGAAUACGAAGGGGGCUAGCGUUGCUCGGAAUGACUGGGCGUAAAGGGCGCGUAGGCGGCGGCCAAAGUCAGGCGUGAAAUUCCCGGGCUCAACCUGGGGGCUGCGUUUGAUACUUGGUUGCUUGAGUGGGGAAGAGGGUCGUGGAAUUCCCAGUGUAGAGGUGAAAUUCGUAGAUAUUGGGAAGAACACCGGUGGCGAAGGCGGCGACCUGGUCCUUUACUGACGCUGAGGCGCGAAAGCGUGGGGAGCAAACAGGAUUAGAUACCCGCGUAGUCCCUGUCUCUUAUAC
rnacentral:rRNA from 1 species